UGCGCGGGGAUCCUGCGCGCCUGCUCGCCCAGGCUCCGCCUACCCUGCCCUAGGCCCCACCACCCGGGGACGCCACCAGCGGCCUCGAGCUCCGCCCACUCCGUCCCCCGAACCCUCGUUGCGCGUAGUGCGCUGACGCCUUCGCCGAAGCCCGCCCGCGGGGCUGGUCCAGUCGGUCCGCCUCAGGCCUGUGCCGAGGCCCACCAUGGAAGGGGACGUCUCCGCCGCCGCAGCCGCCCACUACCAGCCGGCCAGCCCCCCGCGGGACGCCUGUGUCUACAACAGCUGCUACUGUGAAGAAAAUAUUUGGAAGCUCUGUGAAUACAUCAAAAACCACGACCAGUAUCCUUUAGAAGAGUGUUAUGCUGUCUUCAUAUCUAAUGAGAGGAAGAUGAUACCUAUCUGGAAACAGCAGGCAAGACCUGGAGAUGGACCUGUGAUCUGGGACUACCAUGUUGUCUUGCUUCAUGUUUCAAGUGGAGGACAGAGCUUCAUUUAUGAUCUUGACACUGUUCUGCCAUUUCCCUGCCCCUUUGAUACUUACGUGGAAGAUGCCUUUAAGUCUGAUGAGGACAUCCAUCCACAGUUCAGAAGGAAAUUUAGAGUGAUCCGCGCGGAUUCCUAUUUGAAGAACUUUGCUUCUGACCGAUCUCACAUGAAAGACUCCAGUGGGAACUGGAGAGAACCUCCUCCAUCAUAUCCCUGCAUUGAGACUGGAGGUAAUGAAUGCCUGCAGAUCGUAAUCAUCUUUAUUUACUUACAUUAAAAAGCCCUAGAAAAUGAAUACAGUUGUAUUUCAGAAGUUGAGGUUUCAUUUAGCCAUUUGUUAAAGAUUUUAGCUGACUUACAUGGAGUCUGGCAUCUACCCCAGAUUCCAAAAUGAACCUGAAUGACUUUAUCAGUAUGGAUCCUGAGGUAGGAUGGGGAGCCGUCUACUCACUGUCUGAAUUUGUUCAUCGGUUUGGCAGUCAGAACUACUGAAAUUGACCUCUGGAUGUAGUGCCAUGGAGAAAUUCUAGGACGUGAACAAUCCACCCCUUCAUCUGAGACAGGAAACAUUAUGGUACAUUUGGCUUGGAAUUAUGCUUUCCUCUUUUAAUUCAAUUGAGUUGAAGCAUAAGUGAACAAAAGAAUAAAUAGAAACAAUUUCUUUUUGGUAUGUGAGGUUGAAACUUGAUGUAGUUGCUCACAUAUUCCUACUGCUCAUUUGUUAAAAAAUGUGAAGACUUACGCCAGUAAUUGCUUUUGUUAUGAUAAAUGUGUGGACUUUGUGUCUGUUUUGGAUGGUUCAUGUCUCUCCAGCUAUACUGUAAGCUCCUUGAGGGCAGGGCUGUGGCCCAUUGCUCUGUGAAUCUCUAAUGCCCAUAAAAGGUGCCCAUAAAAUGUUUGCUAGUGACUGUGCUGUUGCCUGAAGAGGGCUGAUGUUGUGAGCUCAAUCAGCAAUAAGUAUUAGUCUUUCUGGACCAUUCAUUCUGUUCUUAGCAAAGAUCGCAGCCCUCUCAGGCUUAAGUGUUGUUUGGCCUAUUUAUAUAUGUUUUUAAAUAAAAUUGACCUAAA